AGACUUGUAGCCAAGCGGUAAGGCACUGGGUUUUGAUCCCGGCACCCCUGGUUCGAAUCCAGGCAGGUCUU
rnacentral:tRNA from 1 species